rnacentral:rRNA from 1 species
CGUGUAGGCUGCUUCGAAAGUCGGAUGUGAAAGCCCUGGGCUCAACCUAGGAAGUGCACUCGAAACUUCGAAGCUGGAGUCCUGGAGAGGAAGGCGGAAUUCUCGGUGUAGAGGUGAAAUUCGUAGAUAUCGAGAGGAACACCGGUGGCGAAGGCGGCCUUCUGGACAGUGACUGACGCUGAGACGCGAAAGCGUGGGGAGCAAACA